rnacentral:lncRNA from 1 species
UCGGUGGAGGUUAGUGGAGGAGAUGAGUUGUGGAGAAGAAGCUGUUGGGGAGGAAGACGAUGGAGAAGAGGAGAAGUUUUGUGAGUUUUCUUUUUUCUUAUUUUUUAUUUUAUGCAAAGAGAGAGAAUAGGAACAGUCCCCAAAAAUUUCUUUUUUUUCCUUUAAUGCUCCGAGAGAGAGUCAGCAAAAGUGGAGACUGAGGGGAUGUUUUUUUCCAAUUCCUUUUUUAUUUUCC